UACGUAGGGUGCGAGCGUUGUCCGGAUUUAUUGGGCGUAAAGGGCUCGUAGGCGGUUUGUCGCGUCGGGAGUGAAAUCCACUGGCUUAACUGGUGGCUUGCUUUCGAUACGGGCAGACUGGAGGCAUGCAGGGGAGAACGGAAUUCCUGGUGUAGCGGUGAAAUGCGUGGAUAUCUGGAGGAACACCGGUGGCGAAGGCGGCAUCCUGGACCGACACUGACGCUGAGGAGCGAAAGCCAGGGGAGCAAACGGG
rnacentral:rRNA from 1 species